ensembl:lncRNA NCAM1-AS1 NCAM1 antisense RNA1
AUAAUUAACAUGGCCUAAUUAGCCAGCAGGCGGCUGCUCCUGGGGCCCAGCUGCCUGUCCUGCUCUCUCUGCCUUAUCCCAGCCCCUUGGUUGACGGUCGCCUCAGAGAAGCCCUGGAUGAGGCUGAAGACACAUCUAACAAGGAGGACACAGCACAGCACAAAUGCACACCACCACAGGACACAACCCGAUGACAGCAGACAAAGAGAGGCCGUACUCGGUCUUUGCUGGCGCAGGCGAAACAGAGCUGUCUGCAGUGGAAGGAGCAAGCUCAGGGGCUUGUCCACUGGCCCCAGCGGCGGGAGCAGGAGAGCCCAGGGCUGCAAAAACAUCCUUUGCAAGGGUUCCAAAUGGAGAACGUGCAAUGAAAGGAAAGGCACCAGCUGAUGGCGCAGGGUGGUGCAGCUGCUGGGUCCCUGGGCUGGAGCAGAGCCCAAACCUCAGCAAGGUGGACAGGUCUGCACUCACGAGAAGGCGGCCUUGCCCUCCUCCAUGUCCUUGCCCUUGGCCCCGGGCCCGGCUUUUCCACACAGGUUGACCGCAAUGCACAUGAACAGGCCACACUUGUUCAGGAAGUAGCAGGUGAUGUCCACAACCACCAGGAGCAGGACGAAGAUGACGAUGAGGAUGCCCACGAUGGCCCCGGUGCUCAGGCCUGAGGUGGGGCUGCCGUUGGCUUGAGUGGGAGAGAGAUGGCUGGUGGUUAACAGACUGAGAUGCGAGACCUCCAGACCCUGCCAGCAAAAGCCCCUGCGGGUGGGGAGGGCCCAGAGGACAGAGUCAUGGCAUUCAUGCCCAGAGUGACACCUUCCUGGGGACCUUCUAUGCCCCAGAAUUGAGAAAACAGGGUCUUUCUAUACCUUCCAGAGGGAGGGAUGACAACAUCAUCUCACAGAUUGGGGAACAGGGGUGAGCCUGGUCAGCUGGCCUCCCGUGAGUCCUGGGAGCAGACUGAGCCCCGCCUGUCUGAGAACACCGGAUAAUGAGGCAGUUGGAGGGCGCUGCUGUGUUUCCCCUGGACCAGGGCAAAAGGCUUUGCAGCACAGGCAGGCAGUGAUCACUGAUUUCAGGCGGGGCUGUGGCUCCUCAAGUGCUCAGGGAUAGGGGCCCAAAAUGGGGUGGUGGAGGGUUCCUGGGGCUUUCUUGGGGCUUGUUGGGUUGUCCAUCACAAUAGCAUCCCCAUUAUACUUCUCCACUUCCUCUUUCCCUCUUUAGGAAUGACCCCAAAGGAGCCCUGCAUUAGAGCACACUGGGUUCAUAGUUUACCCUCCUCACUGCACCCCAGGAAGACAAGUGAAGCCUGGGUGACUCCAGAGACAUGGAGGCCUCCCCAGGCCAUGGGCAAGGUGAAAGGUCUGGGAAUACUCACCAUCUAGGAGCUCAGGCCUGCUUGGACCAGACUUCAGGAAAACCUGAAGUGAGUGCAGACUCACUCAGAGGUGCACACACACACAGGCACACUCACACGCAGGAUAAAUGCCCAUGCAGACAGGCAUGCACUCUCACAUUCUAGCACCUGGCACCCUGGUUCUGGCUGGACUCACUGUGAAAGACUCAGCCUGUGUCUUACUUCCCUGGUGCCCAUCUGCAAUCCCCCCAGGGUCUUUGGCUAUUGAUGGUUUCACAGAGAGACCUGGACUCAGCUCUCUGGGGCCCCUGGGAGAUCAACCCAUGGUUACGAUUGACACUAGUUGCCUGGGAUGGACCAAUUGACCUCUUGGUGGUUCCCAUCAGUGUCUGGGAGACAGUGGUCAUGAUGCAGGAAGCAAGGACCCAUGUGGAGCUCUGCCAUUAAGUCGAUGUGGGAACAAUCACCCUCGACUGAAAUAUGGGCACUUCUAAUUCAUCUUUCCUCCAGAACAACCUGCUUCCAUAACUGGCAGCCCUGCCCCACCAGUAGACUAUGUCUAAAGCUUCCUGUGCUCUCAGGGCCAACUGAAGCCACCCAGGACUGCAGACUGAAGAUGGGAACUGUAGCCAGCACUACCUGGGGCUCACCCCACCAGCCACCCCACUCCCAACCCAGCUCGCUAGGCUUUGCCAAGCACCAGGCCAGGCUCAGCAGCUUGCGAGCCAUGUAACAUGCCAGAUAGAUAGUGGAGGGAACAUGUAACUGAGUAACCAGCACCAGAGCUGGGCCACACAUUUUUUGUUUUUCAUGCAGCCUGUAUUUGCGGGAGGGUGGUGGUAUUGAUGGCUCUGUGUGCCCCAGGGGUCUCUGUCCAGGCACUCUAGUGCUUCUCUGGUGGCUGUCCCUCUCCACUGGUCCAUAUUUCAAACUUCAGUUUGGGGAAUGGGCCAUCAGCCUAGCAUGCCAGAGAGGAUCCCUCACAAAUGACUCCUGAGACCCCUGGGUGCAGCUCGUACAUGUUUUUAGUCCCUUUGGGACCUUGGCUUGCCUCCCAGCCCUUCCUCCUCAGGCUCUCUGGCUGGUCCCUGCUGACCUCGCACUGAAGAUCCUAGCGCAUUCCCCCAGGAAGGCUUGAGAUGGCGAAGAACUCUGCUUGGAGAACCCAGCUCUGGACACCUGUCUCUGGGCUUUGGCAGCAGGAAGCUGGCCACUGGCCUUAGCCGUCAGCUAGAAUGGGUCAUUUUCUUAGCAGCCAUGAAUGCAGAGGUAUUUCUGGUUAGUCUCAUAAGAACAAAACCAUCCACUUCCCCAGAGUCCUCACACAUUCCACCCAAAAAGCAAAGGAGACACAGGCCUUCUUGGUCUUCAGGAUCCCAUAGCUGUUUCCCUGAACAGGGAAGAAACUUUAGCCUUGGGUUUUCUCUCCAUUCCAUGACACAGGGCUCCAGGCCACUGCAGCUUCCGGACAUCAGUACCCGAUAGGUGUAAAGUGCCUACUCCCUGAAGAAAGAUCUGAAAGUAUUUUUUUGAUGACAGUGGGGAAUAUGUCUGGAUUUUUGGACUCAAUGGCACUAAUUAUAUCUUCUGAGGUUUAUGUGUAAAUAUGAUUUUGUGAAACUAAUCAUAUCUCUAAAGAGGAAAAAUAAACUCCUGCAAAGCUGCUCUAUGUGCUUGAGAGGACAGCAGCUGGGACAACUGCUCUGUGCUCAUCAGACCCAGCUGGAGGGCGGCACUGGCACUGCGCACAUCCAGGGGAGGGCCAGGCAGGGAAAAGGCUUCUGAACUGUGGCAUAAACAAGUAGGGCAGCGGCCUCCCCUUUCAUUUGAAUAUAAAAUUCAAAGUCUUUCUCCCGGCCUAAAAGGCCCACCAUCUGCUGCAGACUCUGCCCACUCCUCUGUUGGGCCUCAUGGCGUGAACCGGCAGCCUCCCUUCUGCCUGCUGAACACAUCCAGCUCAACCCGCUUUAGGGCCUUGAUGAUUCUGUGCCUGGAACACUCCCUCCAGGGUGGCUCUCUGUUGUCCUGCAGGCCUCAGUCCCAGUGUCACCUUCUCAGAGAAGCCUUAUCUGAUCUCUUAUCUAGUGUGGCACCUCCAGCCAAUACCUACCAUGCUGCUAGCCUGUUUUAUUCUCUUCUAACUACUAUCUGCCACUUUCUGUUCAUUUACAUGCUUAUGAUCUAGCCAUCCCCCCUAGGACAUCCCAGCAGGUACCCUGCCUGUCUCUCUUGUAUCUCCCCAGCAUCUAGGACAAUCCUGAUUCACAGAAAAUGUUCAAAGAAUACUUGUUGCACAAAUGGAUGAGUGUUUAGUCUGGAGACGAGAAUACUAUUUCCAAAUAUUUAAAGGUGUUAUAACCAGAAGGAAGAAGUAGUCUUACUGUAUAUGGCACCAAUGUGUGGAAAUUAUGGUGGUGGCAGAUUUUAGCUCCAUCUGAGAAAGGACUAAUAAACAGGGCGAAUCCAACAUAGUGUGGGCUGCUCUGAGAGGUGAGUUCCUUGAUGCUGAAGGCACUCGAGCAGAGGCCAGAAGACCCCUUGGCAGGGACGCUGUAAGGCUGUGGAUGAGGCUCCCACACUGGGCAGGAGCAUGGGUGGAGAGUGUCUCUUCAACCACAAGAGCCUGUCAUUCCAAGUCAUACAUUCUACACUGCCUGGCACACGGUACAGGUUCCCUAAUGCCAGUCUCCAGAGUGUGGACUGAGAAAGACUUUUUCCUGGAAGACCAAAAUGCUCGGUAGGUCCCAUAUUUAAUCACUGAUCCUUGUGAUUUUAUUUUUGCAUGACAAAUACCUUUAAACUCAAUAUAUCUCCACCUGUAGCAAAUUCCUAGGGUGUUUGUUAACAAUUCAGAAUCUGGGGCUCCCCACUUUUAUGGGAUCUGAAUCACUGGGUAUGAGGCUCAGGAAACAGGAGUUGAACAAGCAGCCCAGGUGAUUCUUAUGAGGACCACGCUCCUAGGUCUUCCCUCCCCUGCAUUACAAAGAGGAGCACGUGAUCCCAUGAUUUGCCACCCCAGGGUGCACUGUGCUGUCUCACCCAGUGACCCUGAAAACAAACUUGACCUAAGGUAUUGAGUGGAUCAAGAGAAAACAAAGAGUAUGCCCCAAAGGAAAAGCGACCAUACUGUAUGCCAACACUGAGUCUAAACUCCUCAAGCAGGUGAGAUGCUCUUUAAGCUAGGAAGAGAAUGUUUGUGGCUUUUACAAAAAAGAGGCUGUGAAGAAGGGACAGGCUGUGAAAUGGGCAGCAGGGUAUUGAAGGCGAAAGCCAACACCCAUUCCCUCUCAGUGGCUAUCACAGAAUUGUUUAGUCCAAGAUAACUAGAAGAACAAAGGCCAUCUCCUGCCUCUUGUGUAAUAUUUCAUAAAAGGAAAAAUAUAAACCUCCAUGGGUCUGUCUUUGCUAUGGUCUUCCCUCAGCCCUCCCUUGACUAACUCACCUGUGCACCUUGGAUGCAAAGAAGGCUUCUGGGGAAGAGUUUCCCCAUAACCUCGAGGUCAGAGCUGCCCAGGACAGGGAGAUUAUGAAGGUGGAGCUGUCCAUCUUCUGUGAUUCCUGGCUUGGGAGGGGUUGGCACUAAAGAGGGAACUGGCUUGCUCCAAGAAUGAGACCCACAGAUGCCUAUUUUUGUAUGCCUUAAUAUAGGAACAUGGGUCUCACAUUUUAUAAAUAUCCAGAUGGGCCUGAGUCCUUGUGCCAUGAGACCCUGGUGCAGCAGAAAUGCCCUUUUCACCCCCAAGACUCCCAGAAGAUGGUCAGACUCUUGGAACUGUUGAGCUGGGGUUCUGGUUCACUCAUAAGCCCUUUACAUGUCUGCUUGCUCCUUCGAAUCAGCUAAACAGAUGGCUGGUCUCAGGGGCUUGCAGGAUGCGUCUGAGUUAAGUGUGAUUAUGAAUAGAAUACAGUUUGCAAAGAGAAUCUUCUCUCAGAUUCCCUCUCCACAAGCUCACUCUGUGCAGCCUCUGUUAGGGAUAGUAUAAAGGCUGCUGUGUCAUCAGGUGACCUUGCCACAGAGUUGUGCAUCUGUUGGCUCAGAGUGUGGCCCCAUCCCCAUAGUGACCACCUCCCCAGUUCUGCAAAGGCAUUUUCCCCUCCCACUGCCUGCUGGGGACUCCAAGGCAGCAAUGCCUCUUAACAGCUCUUAGGAUGCCUGGGAAAAAGAGAUUGCUCCCCGUUAGGAAGAAAAAGUAUUUCAUUCACCAGGCUACUAUUUCUCUAGGUAAUAGUCUAUCCAGGUACAUGAGAGGCGGAGGGAAAGGGUCUUUGCUGCUUUGUCAGACACAACUAUUGAAUAAAAUCAAGCCACGCUGGUGAGUUCACAUGAACUGUUAUUUCCUUUAAUAAUGCAAAGGUGUAAACUUCAUAAAGCCCUCACU